UGGCACUCUUUAGCAUGAUCCUUAGCCAGGUCCUUCAUUAAAGGCCAGUGCAUGUGAGGCCUGCAGGCAAACAAAAAAAUUCAUCAUUGUGCAGUAUUACUCCAAAGACAGUAAGAAAAUGAAGGUGGAGUCAGAAUUUCCCAAACUGGAUUUCUGUACUUAUUCUCUCACAAAGCUCUGACAUAUCACUAUUUUAUCAGCAGACAGCAGUAGCUUUCUGAAGACUGUUUCCUUUUAAUUCGUACCAAAUUUAACUGUAGCCACUUCAAUAAUUCUAGAACAGCUCAGUCCUAGAGGUAAAUUAAAAUUAGGGAAAAUUAGACCGUUUCUAAUGAGGUGGUUAUUACACAGAAUAAUGAUGAUUAUUGGUUCUGCUUAAUAAAACUGUCAGCUAGUGCAAAAUAUAUAUUAACUUAAAUUACAUUACAUUUUGAUCAACUCAGAAAUUCCAUGCAUUUCUUUCCCACAAACUGUGGGCAUAACGAAAUGUUAGGCAGCGCUUCCUUUCUCAAGUAGUCUGAAAAGUGAGGCUAUCAAACACGGCCCUUUAAAGCCCUGAUUUAAAGCCCAUUAAAUGCAAUGCAGCGAGGAUUCAUGCUGACCGGAGUGUCAUGUAGGCCAGGACUUCACUAAAGCAAGCAGUACUCUCUGCUUCUGCCUGUGCAUAGUAGUGUUGUGGCAAAUAUUUCACAGUAUUCUUGGCCUGCUAAAGGAAAGAUGUUUUAUCACGUUUCUAGCCCCCUUCCUCGCCAGUCUCAUGGCUGCUAGUUCCCCUGCUCUUCCCUUUUGAUUUACCUGGCAUAUUCUAAAGUGGACUUUGGGGUGAACUACACUUUUUUUAAUUCCUAGGAUGAAAGCAGUGGGAAAGCUAAAAAUGAGAUUUGUGUGUACAAAACGAGAUGUUGGAGCCCCAUAUGCUUGGAGGUGAGCCCCAGACCUGCCCGUGGUCAGCACUCUCUGACUUUGGCCCCACCAUGUAGAUGGAGCAACGUCCUGUGUGCCCGGCUGCUGCAUGGAGCUGCCCAUGUGCUGGCACCCUGACCCAGCAGAGAUGCUGCCAGUGCCGGCUCCACCCUGCUCGCUGCUGCCUGCCCACCUGUCUCCUUCCCCCAAGCCAUGGCCCACACCACCACCACCACCGGCAUCUCCGUCGCUACCCACAGCACAAAUGCAACAUGGAACAGCGAGUGUGGCUUGAGCAGGCUGAGCUUGUUAAAAUUGCAGUUAAAUAAAUUGUAGGGCUGUAAUACUGGGAGGCUGAUUGGGAUCACAAGAUAUCAGUGUCAUAUCCUGUGGCUUUUAUGUAGUGAGAUGUAGAUUUUUGCCAUCACCAUCUGGCUAUCCAACAGAUAACAACCAGAGAAAAUGGACUUGCAAAUCUCCAGUUGUGAAUAACUGAUAUAUUGUUGCCAGUAAAACGAGGACCUGGUAAACUGCCAGAAGGAAAAGUUUUUUUGAGUAUGAUCAGACUUUUAAUAUGUGUCAGCUUUUGCCUAUGUGUAAAUUAAAGAAACUCCCUAAUUACCAUACAUUUUAAACAGUGUGUCUAGAGAACUCUGGUCCUGUAGAACCCAGAUGUGGCUAUGUUAUCAGCUUCAAAUUCAGGCAAGUAAAUAAAGUAGCAAAUGUACGACUCAACUGGUGUAUCUGCACAGUACAGAUCAUCUAGGUGUGGGUUAAAUGCUAUGAGGAAAGAACAAGAAAUAAGCAAAAAAUACAGUAGUGUAGAAUAUGCAUGUUCUUAACUUCUAGAAAAUCUCAACAGCUGGAAUUUUAGAAUGUGAUAUUUAGACAAAUGUAAAGAGAGAAACAGUGUGUUUUUCUCUGGAGAAAAAUGAAAUAGGUGUACAGAUCAAAUUAUAACACUUAGUCCUUCUAGGACAAAUUCCAGUUGAGGAUCGUGAAGUAAUCUGAAAAUAUUAAUGAUUUAGCCUCACAGCUAGAUUUCAGGUAGAUAAUAAUAAUUAUUGCUACAAAUAAUUUCCUUCAUUCUUGCUCUGAAAUGAAAAUUGAGGCAUAGAAGUUUUAUGUAUUUGUCCAAAGUCCAUUUUACUGCUGUAACCAUCCUUCUAUAGAUUUACUUCGUAUUAAGUAUGCCCUUUUCCAAAUAUUGUAUGUGAUAUACUAUUCAGUUCAUGAAUUCUAAAAAACAAGCAGCUGAUCUUCCUUAUGAAGCAGUGCCUGUGAACAUCUCCAUUUGCAUUUGAAUCCUCAAGCAGUGACAAUCCUGCUUAAAAAAAAAAAAGAAAAAGAAAAAGGGAAUGAUGAAAAUCAGAACAAAAUCUGUCAAGGGCCCAUCUGUGACUGCAUAUCAGAAUAUCACUAAGAUGCUCUGAGGAACAAAGUUGUCUCCAAGUCUAACACAUAGUGCUUUUGUCUACGGAAAUAAUUCAAGAUGGGUGAAAUGAGGGCAAAUAACAUGAAAAACUGUUUCCCUACUGAACAGUCCUGGAAAGCAGCACCUUUGUUUCAUGGAUAAUCUUGUUUGUGAUACACGUACCAGUGCUUAGAUACUAAAGGUUUUACAUGACGAAAUACUCAGCAUGCCCAUAUCUGCUUCAGAUAAGCAUGCAUAGCUGUUGCUUCCAGUCAAGAGUCAGGGAGCCAGGGGUCUUUGGCCCUGGCAGGUGAGAACUUGGGUUAGGUAUGUCUGUGGCAAGCUUUCAUAGCCUGCUACCUGAAGCACUGGGGAAACAAAAGGAUAGACUCCACCCUGGACUUAACAAUACUCUUGAAACCACAUCUAUUUCCUUCUAAAUAGGAACACAUAAAGUUAGGAAAACCUAUUUGUAAGCUAUUUAUAUGUCCUCUUCAGGAUCUGAAUUCCUGCAAGCCUUAGUCAUAGCUCUUUGCUCUCACAUAUGCAAUAUCUGGAACUGACAACUGGAAAUAGGAGAAACAUGGCAUUAAUGUUGUUCUAAUGCACUGUGGGUUUUUUUUCCUUCUAUUUCUUAACUGUUACAGUAUGCAAAUAUUUAGUUAACUGGUCCUCAUGGUUUCUUUUUAUUGAAUUGCUUUCACUAUGGCAAAUAAAUAUUCAUAAAGAAAUGUGGACAAUAAAUCAUUUCCAAUAGUUCAAACCAUUUUCUUUCUAGACUGCAUAUAUAUUCAGCUGUGACUUGCCUUUAAUAUUUAAUUCAAAAGACAGACUUGUAGAAGGACAAUAGAGAUAAUGUGUCAAGCAAUAAUUAAAACAGGGGGUAUGAUUAAAACCAUUUUGAUCUACACUGUGCUCUGUCAAACUCAUAAUCUGCCAUGUUUGCUUAGAUGAUUCUCCACUUGCUUUGUAUGGAACCCAAAAUAAACUUUUGUUUGAAGAUACUGCACAGAACAAAAGAUUUCAACCCUAAGCUUUUGGGACCUGGAGACCUUCCCUGCUCUGGGCUUUGGGUAUGUCUUCUCUAUCAUCCUCACAAGACAAAUCUCAGGCAGCCAUCAUCCCUCAAUUUAACAUGGUGACUUCCCUCGGAAGUAGGUCCAUAUACGUGGCACAAUACAACUAGGGGACAAUCCAAUGUAACCUGGUUCACCAUUUAGACUGAAGCUAAGAGCUCCAAAAGAAGUGCAAGUUAAAGAUACAGGGAGUUUAUACACUUGGGGACCCUGGUUCAAAUUCAAAUUCAAAUAAGAGUGAUAUUUCUUGUUUCACUGUGUGUUUUGGCCACCAAAAUACACCUUGUAUUUGUCCCAGCUUCAUUAUCUUUUCUGAUUUGUUGCUGAUUUUGGGCCAUAACUCAAUAGAGCACUUAUGUACAGACUUAAAGAAAUUGAUUUAAGAAAAC
rnacentral:lncRNA from 1 species